UACGGGGGGAGCAAGCGUUGUUCGGAUUUACUGGGCGUAAAGGGCGCGUAGGCGGCCACCGCAAGUCGACUGUGAAAUCUCCGGGCUUAACCCGGAAAGGUCAGCCGAUACUGUCGUGCUAGAGUGCGGAAGGGGCAACUGGAAUUCCGCGUGUAGCAGUGAAAUGCGUAGAUAUGCGGAGGAACACCGAUGGCGAAGGCAAUCCCCUGGACCUGUACUGACGCUCAUGCACGAAAGCGUGGGGAGCAAACAGG
rnacentral:rRNA from 1 species